CUUUUCAAACCAAUUUUCUUUAACAGUGGAAAAAAUUGUGGAAAGCAAUUUUUAUUUUGUAUUUUUUGUGGGUCACUGAAAAAAAUGUUUACGAUUUCAUUGUGUCUACGAUGGUUUUUAAGUUAUGAUUUUUCAAAGAAAACAUCUGGACAAUUUCCUUAAAAUUGGACAUAAAAAAAGAAAUAAACUUUUCCAACCGAUUUUCCUCAUCAGUGGAAAAUUUAUUGGAAAAAAUUUUCAUUUUGUAUUUAUUUUAUUGCUGAGAAAAUUUGCUUAUGAUUUCACAAAAAAAAACUGUGCCUACGAUGCUUUGUUGUUGAGUUAUGGUUUUUCUAAGUAUGUGGAAUAUGUGGAAAAUGUUUGCUUUUCCCUGAAGUUUUCCGGAAAAUUAGGUGACCCUGAUUUUUUUUCAAUUUAGUUUGUUCAUAUAUACACUCCCGAUCAAAAGUUUGGGGUCACCCCCUCAAAAACAUGUCAUUUUUUAGGCCCAUAUCUCCACCAAUUUGCGUCCGAUUUCAAAAUCCUAGGUCUCAUUCGAAAGAUAAUAAGUCAAAGUAACUUUGAACAUGAUUU